rnacentral:snRNA from 1 species
UCACUUACCUGGAUGGGGUCAAUGGGUGAUCAAGAAGGCCUAUGGCCUAGGUGAGUGACCUCCAUUGCACUUUGGAGGGGUGCUCGCCUAAGGUCUACCCAAGUGGUGGAGCCUACAUCAUAAUUUGUGACAGGGGGGCUUGCGUUCGCGCAGUCCCCAC